rnacentral:lncRNA from 1 species
CCUGCCUCUGCCUCCCGAAGUGUUGGGAUUAUAAGCGUGAGCCACCAUGCCCAACUCUGGUAGUUCUUUAUAGGAAUGUGAGAACAGACUAAUACGCCAGUUCUUAGAAAAUACCCAUUGAAGUAUUUAGGAGUAAACAGCCAUGACACAUGUAACUGACUUCCAAAUAAUGUUUAAAAAAAUUAUGAGAGAGGAGUGGGGAGCACAUGAUCAACCAGUAAAGCUGACGGGUUAAAAUGUUAAUAAUCAGUGAAUCUAGGUAAAGAGUUUAUAAAUGUUCCUUGUACAUUUUUUUGUAAACUUGAAACUACAUCCGAAUGAAAAGCUAAAACAAAAGCCAUUUCUUUAUCGCCGUGUUUUGGGUUCUGCCAUAAUCAGAAUGUCUGCCCCCUAAGCCAACUCCAUUCCCACUGCGAUGGGAUGAAAACUGGGGACACCAAGAGGCAGAGCCCAGGGUUGCCCAGGCUUACUCUCCUUUUAUUUCCCAUCUGUGCUUUGCUGAGCAAUGUCCAGGAAUUUUUUGCAUUGCUCUUGCCCUCUGUCUGAAGGUGGGAUUCUUCAGGUGCCCAAAGUCUCCUGGACCCCAAAGCAGGUACUGCUCCCUCUGUGUCUGAAGAGGACACAGCAAAGCUGCCUCUCCCUUUUAGCACAAUGGGUUUGGCAUGUUUCCACCCAUGUUUUUUAACUGUGGGCCUUUGGGACUCAUCAUCAUCUCUGAUUACCUUUUCCAGGAGACUGAGGGACAUGCUUCAUCUUAAUUUUUAAAGAAACUUAAGACCCAAACAAACAGGUAGUAAUAUUUCUUAGGACUUGGUGAGGCUUCGUCCCCAGGAUUCACUUCAUCAUCAGGACCACAGGAGAGACUCAGGAAAGGAACGCUUGGGGAAACAGAUCCAAAUACAGAUGCUGAAAGUAGGCUCCAAGGCAGUAAAGCUGCACCUGCUUCGGCAGCACAUAUACUAAAAUUGGAACGAUACAGAGAAGAUUAGCGUGGCCCCUUAAAUAAAUACAUAGAAACAAAAGCAGUAAAGCUGUGAUAAACACGCCAGUGCCGAUGUCUGGUGGAACUACUCACAAUAGCAAAGACAUGGAACCAACCUAGGUGCACACCAAUGGUGCAUUGGAUAAAGGUAAUGUGGUGCAUAUACACUAUGAAAUUCUACACAGCUAUUAAAAAGAAUGAAAUCGUGUCCUUUUGUUUGUUUGUUGAGACGAAGUCACCUAGGCGGGAGUCUAGUGGCAUGAUCUUGGCUCACUGCAACCUCCACCUCCUGGGUUCGAGCAAUUCUCCUGCCUCAGCCUCCUGAGUAGCUGGGAUUAUAGGCACAUGCCACCACACUCAGCUACUUUUUUUCAUUGUUGUUGUAUUUUUAGUAGAAAUGGGGUUUCACCACAUUGGCCAGGCUGGUCUCAAACUCCUGAGCUCAGGUGAUCUGCCCACCUCAGCCUCCUAAAGUGCUGGGAUUACAGGCGUGAGCCACCGUGCCCGGCCUUGAAAUCAUGUCCUUUGCAACGGCAUGGAUGCAGCUGGAGGCCAUUUUCCU